rnacentral:rRNA from 1 species
AGCGAACGCUGGCGGCAGGCCUAACACAUGCAAGUCGAACGAACUCUUCGGAGUUAGUGGCGGACGGGUGAGUAACACGUGGGAACGUGCCUUUUGGUUCGGAAUAACUCAGGGAAACUUGUGCUAAUACCGAAUGUGCCCUUCGGGGGAAAGAUUUAUCGCCAUUAGAGCGGCCCGCGUCUGAUUAGCUAGUUGGUGAGGUAACGGCUCACCAAGGCGACGAUCAGUAGCUGGUCUGAGAGGAUGACCAGCCACACUGGGACUGAGACACGGCCCAGACUACUACGGGAGGCAGCAGUGGGGAAUCUUGCGAAAUGGGCGAAAGGCUGACGCAGCCAUGCCGCGUGAAUGAUGAAGGUCUUAGGAUUGUAAAAUUCUUUCACCGGGGACGAUAAUGACGGUACCCGGAGAAGAAGCCCCGGCUAACUUCGUG